UUGUGGAGAGAAAAUAGGGUUCUCUCUCCCUUCUUCGGUUUGAAAUUUAAACCGCUCUCUCUCUCCUCUGUGGAUGGUUGAUGGAUUGAAGGGCGGUGGUGGAAGGCGAGAGAAAAUCGGGUUCUCUCUCCCUUCUUCGGUUUGAAAUUUAAACCGCUCUCUCUCUCUCUCUCCCUUGUGGCUACAUUUAGGGAGGGGGCGGUGGAAAUAGGGUUCUCUCCCUUUUUCUCUUUUAUACUUUUAUGUUUCCUUUGCCAUGUUUUAUUUCAUAUGCACUGAAUAUUUUCUCCCUCUCUUCUACUCGUAUAGUCGUAUUCUUUGAUGACAUGGUGGUGAGGGUUAGAAAUUCGCCAUCUCGCUCUUGCCUUUUCCGGGCUUUUGGUGGCCUUUGCUGCAAAUCCAGUAAAGAUGGCUGUUCUUGUAAGAUGUAAGUGCUUGUUCUUGCAACAUUUUUUUAGUUCUCUUUGGUUAAUCCUUUUUCUUCCAUAAAUGGAGCUGUAAAGAAAUUCAGUGUCAUCAGAAAUAAGUGAACCAUAUUUAGAUUUAAACUAUGCGAUCUUCAAUUUUAAAAAUCUAACCUUCAAUUAAAUUAUCAGUUUGGAGCAUGUUUCCUUGCAAGUUCGUUCAUUUUUUGUUGAGUCUAGGACUUCCUCUUCAAUCCAGAGGACGUCAACUCUCACAGUCAGGAGGUUUACGCUUUCCUUUUCUUAUUGGAAUUGAGGAUUCGCUAAUCCUAGAAGUGCUCGAUGAAGUCCAGCUUUGCGACCAAUACUCCAUUUCAACGAGCAUACACUAAGACAUGCUCAUCAAGCAAGGAUUAACAUUUAUUGGUUAUCCAUGAGAAUGUUCCAUGUUUAAAUUCUUUUCCUUGGCCUCACUCAUGGUCCAUCAAAGAAAAUUAAGUGAUAAAACAAAAACGGAUAGGGAAGUUUUUCUUCGUUAUUUCUACCUAAGAAAUUAGCAUAAUAUUUGGAAGAAAUGGGUUUCAAUGGCAAGAUUAUUCAAAAAAUAUUUUUUUGGAGCUUAAAUUUUACACAAUUACACACUAAAGCCGGAAAUAACCUCUAAUACUAAACCCAUAAGUAUGAAAGGAUUGCUCAAAAGAACAAAUGAAAAGGCAAUUACAAAUUCUAUUUAGAAACAAUAUG
rnacentral:lncRNA from 1 species